CUGACCAGCCGAGGCCUCACUCGCACUCUUUUGCAGUCAUUAACGCUUCUGUUCCAGAACCUUCUAUCAGAACUGAGAUAUCCAGCAUCUACAGAUUUCUAUCUCAAAAUUACUCACUGCUCUGUGACUGAAACUUUGCUGAUAUCCUGGGAUUCUGGACAGCAAUUACAAGCAGGAUGAGAGUGAAUUUAUAUUGGGUCAAGGGGACAGGACAAUAUUGUGUGCGAAGACAAGGUUCUGUGCCCAAAGCACACGGCCAGCAACCGGCUCGCUGCUUUCAAUCUUCCGUGCACUCACGCGGCACAUCAGGCAGCGGCAUCGACCUCAAAUCGGCACACCUCCAGAGCCACGACAAGCCGGUACCCUGAAGGCGCCCUGGUCUUCCUGGCAGAGGCCAGUCGUGAGGCCCUGAGAGCGGGUCCCAUUUCCUCAAAGAACCAAAGUCAGCCUGUAACUCCAGGCCAGGGUCUUCCAAAGAACUUGGAGCCACCAUCAAGCAGGAUAGAACCAGACUACAGCGCACAGUGAGGACUGCCGAGCCUCCCUGCAGCUCUAUUGCAGACCUGUACUCUUCCAGGUUGAAGAAGAGGGCGGGGAACAUCAUAAAGGACUCCUUCCAUCCUGCGCACAGACUGUUUGAACUGCUUCCGUCUGGUAGGUGCUUCAGAUCCCUCCAGACUAAGACUAAUAGACACUGGAGAAGUUUUUUCCCUACUGUGGCCACUUUGCUGAACAGUUAACUGCCGGUUAACUGUCGGCUAACUAUUACUUGGAUUGCUCUACCUUUAUGUAUAAUCUGUAUUUUCAUUUAUAUUUAUCAUUAUUAUUGUUCUGAGCAGAGAGACAACAUCUGCCAGAAGUAAAUUCCUUGUAUGUGCACAGGUACUUGGCGAUUAAAGUCUGAUUCUGAUAUUAAAGAUAGAAAUACUGUCUCCGAAGAUGCAAGCAAAGGAGUUGCCGUUAGGGCCAUCAUCCUAAUCUCCGCCCUCCGUGACUGUUAGAACAUAUUCAGGAUGUAUAGCAAAAUAUUAAUUUCAGCAACUAACUUCAGCAAAUUAUCUUUAGAUCUGAAUAUGGCCUGCAGAUUAAAUUUAAAAUGCAGCUCUGGACAUUAGGUUCCUAGAGCUGUUAAUUGAAAAACCAGACAAUAAAGGUUAACAAUCAUUUUGAAUGUUAUGUGUGGCUGCGUAGAAGGAGAAGUUAUACGUAAUUCAAAGGAGGCAUUGUAGAUACAUUGUAUCUAUAGAAUUGUCCUUUAAUCUUUAGCAUAUAAAAUGUCACAUAAUGUUGGGCCAAACAAGACACAUGCUCCCAAAGGAUCUCAGUAUGAUGCCCACUAUGUCUCAUUUUGUCGAAUAAAAGACUACUUCAUAUCUACCAGCUACAUCUCUCUGGUGACUUAGUUCACACUACAACAGUGACAUAUACUGUAUGUAUUUUCUUAAUAAAUUUACUUUGAACUUUGAAUUUUGACAUUGCUGAAGGGUCAUAGCUGUUAGUGAUAAAGUUAAACUUUUAACAAGUAUGCUUCUCUCAGCUUGUUGUUGUAAACAAGAACCAGUUUCCAUUUAGAACAUAGAACAUAGCACAGUACAGCAUAGUACAGGCCCUUUGACCCACAAUGCUGUGCUGACUCCCAUAUAACUCUGCCUCCCAUAUAACCCCCCACCUUAAAUUCCUCCAUAUACCUGUCUAGAAGUCUCUUAAACUUCACUAGCAUAUCUGCCUCCACCACUGACCCUGGCAGUGCAUUCCAUGCACCAACCACUCUCUGAGUAAAAAACCUUCCUCUAAUAUCCCCCUUGAACUUCCCUCCCCUUGCCUUUAAAGCCGUAUUGAGCCGUAUAAAGCCGUAUUGAGCAGUGGUGCCCUGGGGAAGAGGCACUGGCUGUCCACUCUAUUUAUUCCUCUUAAUAUCUUGUAUACUUCUAUCAUGUCUCCUCUCAUCUUCCUUUUCUCCAAAGAGUAAAGCCCUAGCUCCCUUAAUCUCUGAUCAUAAUGCAUACUCUCUUAAUGCAUAUCUCUUAAUGUAAAAUAAUGCAUAUUUCUUAAUGUAAAUUGCGAACAGCAGUAAGUUUGAAGCUGGAGGCACAACUUUGCAAAGACCAGGACAGCCCUUGACUGCAUUAGCCAAAUGCAACACAAUGGGUUAUGUCAGGCAACACAUCAGACAUGGUUACAAGUUGCAAUGCUCUUGUGGUCAGAGGGUCAGCCCUCACAGCAGUAAUUGCGGAUGCUUGGGGCUAACGUUCCCUGGUGCUUUUCAGUCCACAUGUGUGAGCGCCUUUGAUCCAGCAGAGGUGUCUGGAAAACUUCAUAUGCAGAUGAUGUCACUUAGUAGAAAAUAGUAUGGUUGUCAUAAGCAUUGGGGAUUGUUAGGAAUGACAAGGAGAAAUGCAGAAAGAUGGGAUGACAGAAAGAAGAACUAGAAUUCAUUCCUCAACCUUCAGUUUCUGUGACAGGCAACUUGUUAAUCUGCAACUCAUUGGUAUGCUUGUCCAGUUCAUAGGAUUUGUACCAUGUUCUGAAAUCCUUUCUGGUUUGUAAAUUGUUUUGUAAUUCAGAAAUCUUUUAUAAAUCAGAAAUCCCCUGUGUAUGUUAAACCUGUGUUAAAAACUAUUUGU